UGUGUUGGUGUUUUUUCACAACUACUUUACACGUGCUUUCAAGCACUUUUUCCCCUCAUCUGUUUUCUGUUGGUGAUUAAGACUAUUCAAAUCGAGGGUGAGCCACCAUUCUUUGUCGAGACUUUGUUUGGAAUGAAGAUUCUUCACAUGGGUCCACAGCAUGAGCUCUCAGCUGCAAGAAAACAUCCACAGAUGAAGCGCACACAAUGGGCAGAACAAAUACCAAAAGUACCUACGGACACUAUUCUGGCUCUGUCUGCUUCAAGGUUUCAAACUAAAACCUACUGUCCAGGAGAAAGUAGCCUGCCAAGCUAUCAGGCCGGAUAUGGCCACCACGCCCCAUCAGACAUGUCGUCAUGGGUACCAGGAUAAAGCUCUUCCAUGCGGAAAGAAAUGCCGAUGCAGCAAGGGGAGGGGGCUGAGGGUUAAAAAAGAAGUGGGUGGGUGGGGACGAACAGGCCCCAUCAGCAGAAUAGCCUGGCCAACUAAUGCCCUGCACCGGGGCCUGGUAUUACCUCUGACUGAAUGAUCCUAUUCAAACUUUGCAGGCCCCCCCAAACCCCCAUCACUAACAAGCAACACAAAAACCCUGACUAACCCCAAAGUGCCAUAGUGGCGCUCUAUUGUUCGCUCCGUCACGUGAUAAUACUAACUCGUACGGACACAAAUAAGAGAGCGAUAGCGAGAGAUCCUUUUAAUUUGGAUGAUGGAAUGUGGACUCUUGUGACUGCACAUGGGGGGGAAAGAAAGUGUUUUGUAAUCUCACAAUUUUAUGCCUCUGUGACUCCGGUUUCAAGUAAGACAACACUUGUCCCCCCUUCCCUUCCCACACACCAAUGUGUUGUAAAUGUGACAAGCUGUAAACAUCUCAUAGGUGAUCAUCCUAGCACACAGUCAUUCAUUUGCCAGCAAGUGAGGUCACCAACGGUUGAGUAUGACUCAGUUUACAAAAGAUUUCCCAGCAGCUAGAUAUGUACAAUAAUGGAUCCAUGCCAGCUCCCACAUCACCCAUGACAACACAUCUGUAGUCCAGAAUUCUUAUGUACACACUCUGUUAUUUCUUCCAGCAUUUGACAAGCUAUUCCUGCAAACAUGCAUUAACACUGUUUUGCCAGGAGACUGCUGUUGCAAUGUGAACAUGUAAUAAUGAUAUGCUAUUGAAUAAAGUCGCACUUGUAUAUCA